UUUGCAAGUCAUGGCCACAGUUCGUACAGUAAUCUUGUAAAAUAGCUUGUUUUCCGCGUUAAAACUGAGUGUUACAACGGAGAACGUUUGCGUUGCUGUGUAUUUAUUGCAAUCUACAGAUACAGUCGAUCAGCUAUGUGAGUUUUGAGAGGAAUUGUUGCGUUGGUUCGUACUGGGUGUUGUGUUAUCCGGAUCUCUUGAUUUCCUGUUGAUUAUAUAACUAAAUCCAUACCUUACACAAACAGUAUAUUUGCCGAAUAACAAUACACUAUUGCGAUCUGAGACUGAAAAUCUUGCCAGGGGCUACAAAAAUGCAUUAACUCGGUUGCAAAGGAUAAGCAAAAGUUACCUUACGCAGCUGGCUAAUGUAGCCAACUUUGCUAGCACUACUAGCGUGCAUUCAAGUUACAAGUACGGAAGUUAGUUAUUAUAUUUUAUGCAGACUGCACUUGAUGUAGCUAACUGUAAUCAUCAUAUAAAUCAAACUAUAAAGUGAACAGCUUUUUAAAUAAGAUAAUGACCUUAGAAGAUAAAAUGUAUGUCGUAAUAUUGGUAUGUUUUAAACGUAGAAGAAACAACACAGUCGUCCUUAGCGACUGACGGCAACGCGAUUUAGUUGCAUUGCCUAGAAUGACAGAAGGUUGUACUGUUUGUUAAAAUAUGACAUCGUCGGACCUUGAACCUUUAAAAAAGAAAUUACGGUUGGAGAGUGCCGGAACAUCUGUCAGUGGCAGGACAAAGAAUUCCAGUCAGUUGUCCACACGUUCCGUCAGAGAUAACAAAAAGAAGACUACCCAGACUUCUACAAACAAAAUGGAGGAAAUCACAGAAAAUGGUGGGAAGUCCUUGGAGGGCAGGAGUGAUGCUGCUGGGAAACUCCCAGGCCUGUUUCUCAAGAGAAAGCCUGAUGGUGAACCAUGGGACAGCGAAGCCCAUGGGGCUGCGGAACACUUCCAGAACCUUCCUUCUGCGGGAAGUGCCUUGCUGGAGGCAGCACAGGGAGGGCUGUGCUCUCCAGGGCAGGAGGGGCCACAGAUGGAGGUUGGCUCUCCAGGACUGGGGGGGCCACAGAUGGAGGUUGGCUCUCUAGGACUGGGGGGGCCACAGAUGGAGGUUGGCUCUCCACGGCUGGGGGGGCCACAGG